UCAAGUUAUUAAGGGUGCAGGGCGGAUGCCUUGGCACUAGGAGCCGAUGAAGGACGUGAUAAGCUGCGAUAAGCUUCGGGGAGUUGCACGUAAACUUUGAUCCGAAGAUUUCCGAAUGAGGAAACUCACUUAGAGUAAUGUCUAAGUAUCAUUAAGUGAAUACAUAGCUUAAUGAGGGGAACUCAGGGAACUGAAACAUCUAAGUACCUGAAGGAAGAGAAAGAAAUUCGAUUCCGUAAGUAGCGGCGAGCGAACGCGGAUUAGCCCAAACCAAUAAAGUUUUCUUUAUUGGGGUUGCGGACAUAUCAUAACGAAGAGGUAUCGUAAUUGAAGAGGUUUGGAAAGACCCACCACAGAAGGUAAUAGUCCUGUAUGUUAAACGAGAAGACUUCAGAUAUGAUCCAGAGUACCACGGGACACGUGAAACCCUGUGGGAAGCAGGAGGGACCACCCUCCAAGGCUAAAUACUACCUAGUGACCGAUAGCGUAUAGUACCGUGAGGGAAAGGUGAAAAGAACCCCGGGAGGGGAGUGAAAUAGAACCUGAAACCCUGCACUUACAAGCUGUGGAAGCACAUUUCUUGUGUGACCGCGUACUUUUUGUAGAACGGGCCAACGAGUUACGUUAAGUAGCAAGGUUAAGCACUUAAGGUGUGGAGCCGUAGCGAAAGCGAGUUUUAACUGAGCGUUCAGUUACUUGACGUAGACCCGAAACCGGGCGACCUACCCAUGAGCAGGAUGAAGCGAAAGUAAAAUUUCGUGAAGGUCCGAACCCACGAGCGUUGAAAAGCUCGGGGAUGACUUGUGGGUAGCGGUGAAAUUCCAAUCGAGCCCGGAGAUAGCUGGUUCUCCCCGAAAUAGCUUUAGGGCUAGCCUCAAGGUGAGAGAUACGGAGGUAGAGCACUGAAUGUCCUAGGGGGUAUUGCACCUACCGAAGACUAUCAAACUCCGAAUGCCGUCAUCUUAUACUUGGGAGUCAGACUGUGGGUGAUAAGAUUCAUAGUCGAAAGGGCAACAGCCCAGAUCGUCAGCUAAGGUCCCUAAAUGUAAGUUAAGUGGUAAAGGAUGUGGGAUUGCACAGACAACCAGGAUGUUGGCUUAGAAGCAGCCACUCAUUCAAAGAGUGCGUAAUAGCUCACUGGUCGAGUGAUCCUGCGCCGAAGAUUUCCGGGGCUAAAACUUACUACCGAAGCUACGGCAUCAGUAAUGAUGGGUAGGGGAGCUUCCCAUACGGGUUGAAGCAUGACCGUAAGGACAUGUGGACAGUAUGGGAGUGAGAAUGUUGGCAUGAGUAGCGAGAUGUGGGUGAGAAUCCCACAGGCCGUAAACCCAAGGUUUCCAGGGGAAGGUUCGUCCGCCCUGGGUUAGUCGGGACCUAAGCUGAGGCCGAAAGGCGUAGGUGAUGGACAACAGGUUGAUAUUCCUGUACUACCGAUAACCGUUUGAGAGAAGGGAUGACACAGUAGGAUAAGCUAAGCACACUGUUGGUUAUGUGUGCCCAAGCAUUGAGGCAGUCAAAGUAGGCAAAUCCGCUUUGAUAAUGCUGGGAUGUGAUGGGGAGCGAAAUUUAGUAGCGAAGUAGCUGAUUUCACACUGUCAAGAAAAGUCUCUAUCGAGGUUAAAGGUACCCGUACCGCAAACCGACACAGGUGGGUGAGGAGAGUAUCCUAAGGCCAGCGAGAGAACUGUUGUUAAGGAACUCGGCAAAAUGACCCCGUAACUUAGGGAUAAGGGGUGCCACCAUCAGGUGGCCGCAGAGAAUAGGCCCAAGCGACUGUUUACCAAAAACAUAGGUUUCUGCUAAGUCGCAAGACGAUGUAUAGGAGCUGACGCCUGCCCGGUGCUGGAAGGUUAAGGGGAUCUGUUAGAGCAAUCGAAGCAGUGAACUUAAGCCCCAGUAAACGGCGGCCGUAACUAUAACGGUCCUAAGGUAGCGAAAUUCCUUGUCGGGUAAGUUCCGACCCGCACGAAAGGCGUAACGAUUUGGGCACUGUCUCAACAACAGACUCGGUGAAAUUGUAAUUCCGGUGAAGAUGCCGGAUACCUGCGACAGGACGGAAAGACCCCAUGGAGCUUUACUGUAGCUUGACAUUGGGUCUUGGUACUACAUGUACAGGAUAGGUGGGAGGCUUUGAAACCAGGACGCCAGUUUUGGCGGAGCCAUCCUUGGGAUACCACCCUUGUAGUACUGGGACUCUAACCAUAGGCCAUGAAUCUGGUCUUGGGACACUGUCAGGUGGGCAGUUUGACUGGGGCGGUCGCCUCCCAAAAGGUAACGGAGGCGCUCAAAGGUUCUCUCAGUACGGUCGGAAAUCGUACGUAGAGUGUAAAGGCAAAAGAGAGCUUGAUUGCAAGACAUACAGGUCGAGCAAGGAUGAAAAUCGGACUUAGUGAUCCGGUGGUUCUGCGUGGAAGGGCCAUCGCUCAACGGAUAAAAGCUACCCUGGGGAUAACAGGCUUAUCUCCCCCAAGAGUCCACAUCGACGGGGAGGUUUGGCACCUCGAUGUCGGCUCAUCACAUCCUGGGGCUGUAGUAGGUCCCAAGGGUUGGGCUGUUCGCCCAUUAAAGUGGUACGCGAGCUGGGUUCAGAACGUCGUGAGACAGUUCGGUCCCUAUCCGUCGCAGGCGUAGGAAAUUUGAGAAGACCUGUCCUUAGUACGAGAGGACCGGGAUGGACGUACCUCUGGUGUACCAGUUGUUCUGCCAAGGGCAUGGCUGGGUAGCUAUGUACGGAAUGGAUAAGCGCUGAAAGCAUCUAAGCGCGAAGCCAACUUCAAGAUAAGAUUUCCCACCGUAAGGGUAAGACCCCAGAAAGACUAUCUGGUUGAUAGGUCGAAGGUGUAAGUGCAGCAAUGUAUUUAGCUUAUCGAUACUAAUAGGUCGAGGACUUGACCAA
rnacentral:rRNA from 1 species